ensembl:lncRNA
GUGGUGGUGUCUACAACGUGUGCUGUGACCGAUUAUUUCACUGGGGCUCUUUGUGCUGUGAGAGUGAGUGUGCUGUGUGAGGGGAACGUACACAUCUCUCGUGAGGCCGCAGCUUCCUUUUUGUGAACAUUGCGUUUGUGGUUUGUCAUUUGUCUGUGCAUGGUUUUUAUUAUAAAUUAUAAUAAACUUUUGGUAAUUUUGUAUAAAUACCUGUGUCUCCAUGUUGUUCUGUCUUUAGUGGGGAACCUGUGUGCGGGUAUAUUAUUCCCUGGGUGAAAUUCCCAGGGUGGCGUAGUCUAAACUAAAUUCUAUAACAUCUAUUGUGCCCUUUGUCCCUGUGGUUGCCACAGGAGCGUAGAAACAGAAGAAGCUGGAGGAGAAACAAGCACGGAAAGCUCAGAGAGAGGCCGAGCUGGAAGAGCGAGAGGAGAGGAGGAAGAUGCAGGAGCUUAGACAUCAAGAGAGACAGAAAGAAGAGGAGAAGGACAGACUGCAAGAGCAAAAACGGGUCAGUAUAUAUCGCCAAGGCUGAUAUUAUUGGCCUAUAAGUGUUGAAAACAGGACUUUUAUUUUGACAGCACCUGAGCGCAGAUGCACAGAAGUGUCAAUUCUUCAUCUGCAAUCAUUUACUGUCUUAGUUUAACAGCUCUUCUAAUAAUUAAAAGGCAACCACUAUAAUACUUUUUCAUACACAUAAAGAAUUAAGCACGGCAUAGAGAAAAGGUUUAAUUGACAAUUAGCCUACUUUAAUCAACAUUUUAGGAGCUGUUAUGAUGACGAAAUCAGCUCUGUAUAUUAGACAUAUUAAAUAUAUAUUAGAUUUAAGUUGUGCCAUUUUAGCCUAGACAUCCUUUACAAAAAUAAGAAAACGUGUAUUAGUAAAACGAAGGACAAUAUUAUUUUAUUUAGAUCCCAUUAACUUCCAUAAAUUGCUUCAACAUACUUCCUGGUUUCCAGGGACGGGGAUGGGGAAAUCACAUGAGGAGACGUAUUUGAUAUGGGCGUGGCUGUCGUUUACAUAACACUUGGACGUGGGCGGGGUUGUGUCGGGAUGGGCGUGACUUCUGCCGUCACACUUGGAUGUGGGCGGGGUUGUGUCGGGGAUGGGCGUG